rnacentral:rRNA from 1 species
AACGCUGGCGGCGUGCCUAACACAUGCAAGUCGAGCGGGGACAUUGGAGGAGUAAUCUGACGGUGUUCUAGCGGCGGACGGGUGAGUAACGCGUGAGCAAUCUGUCCUCGUCUGGGGGAUAAGGAGCCGAAAGGCUUUCUAAUACCGCAUGAGACCACGGCAUCACAUGGUGCAGAGGUCAAAGGAGAAAUCCGGACAAGGGUGAGCUCGCGUCUGAUUAGCUAGUUGGCGGGGUAACGGCCCACCAAGGCAACGAUCAGUAGCCGACCUGAGAGGGUGAUCGGCCACAUUGGAACUGAGAGACGGUCCAGACUCCUACGGGAGGCAGCAGUGGGGAAUAUUGGGCAAUGGGGGAAACCCUGACCCAGCAACGCCGCGUGAAGGAAGAAGGCCUUCGGGUUGUAAACUUCUUUGAUCAGGGAAGAAACAAAUGACGGUACCUGAAAAACAAGCCACGGCUAACUACGUGCCAGCAGCCGCGGUAAUACGUAGGUGGCAAGCGUUAUCCGGAUUUACUGGGUGUAAAGGGCGUGUAGGCGGUCUCAUAAGUCAGAUGUGAAAUUCCCGGGCUUAACCCGGGCGCUGCAUCUGAAACUGUGGGACUUGAGUACUGGAGAGGAUAGUGGAAUUCCUAGUGUAGCGGUAAAAUGCGUAGAUAUUAGGAGGAACACCGGUGGCGAAGGCGACUAUCUGGACAGUAACUGACGCUGAGGCGCGAAAGCGUGGGGAGCAGACAGGAUUAGAUACCCUGGUAGUCCACGCCGUAAACGAUGGAUACUAGGUGUAGGGGGUAUCGACCCCCCCUGUGCCGGAGUUAACACAAUAAGUAUCCCACCUGGGGAGUAUGGCCGCAAGG